GUUCCUGCGGCUGCCCCAGCUGGGAGGGUAAGAGACAGACGGAUAGAGCAACAAACUUAUUAAAGACUAGAGCAGAGUGUAUUUGUCAAGUCAGGUCAAUUUUAUUUGCAUAGCCUAAUAUCACAAAUUUGCCUCAAGGGGCUUUACAAUAUGUACAGCAUACAAAACCAUCUAUCCUUAGACUUUUGUUUCAGAU